GGAGCGUGGCGGCUGUGGUGCUGCUGAUCCGUCGGCUGUGGCUAAGACGGCCCGGAGAGGACUCUCGUCGUUCUUCUGCUGGUUUGCCCACCGGCACCGCCUGAAGAUGAAUGAAUUUAACUGCGAACGUGCUGUGCUCCUCCGGUGAAGCCGAGGAAGUGAAACCUCCGGGCGCUACCUCGCUGUGUCUCCGGGCUCCGAACGCACGUUGCUGGCCCGGUGCAAGCGCUGCUUGUUCCAGCAUCAGAAGCAAGAUCACAGCACGCCUGGCUCCACAUUCAAGGUCCGGCUGGAUGGGGCUCUGAGCAAUCUGAUGUGUUGUAGGGGUUCCUGUUCAUUGUGGGGGAGUUGGACUGGAUGACCUGCAAGGAUCCCUUCCAACUCAUGGUUCUAUGGUUCUGAGUCAAGUGUCAGUCAGUCCUAGAAUGGACCAAGAUGGAAGUGUGUCAUACAGCACAAGAGAUGAAGUUGACCAAGAAAAUAAAGAAAACCCUGCAAAAACAUCUUUUUCAAUGCCACUGUUGAUGUCAGAUGCUGUGAUAUGAGCUUGGGGAGAGUGCAGUAUUUCACCUGGCCCUUGCUCUUGUGAAGUCGUGAACAUCUUGUUCAGAGAAGAAACAGAUCGGUUUCAGCUUGAGGAGCCCCAGCCUGCAGUUUCUGCUUCUCUUUCAAGUUCUGUAGGCUCUGGCAAAAGAACAAAAGUGAAGAAGCAGCCCAGGCUAUUGCACCUUUAAGCUUGUAUUGUGUUUCCAGUGUUAGAACUCAGACUAUGGUUUGGAUCCUAAAGCUAAACUAAAGGCUGAAAAUCGCAAAAAUUAGAAGAAAGCUAAAUGUAAUGAUAGGUGGUUAGCUCAUCCUAUGAAAGAUGUCUGCACCUUAAAGCCGGGCUCUAAAAGAGCACAGUGUUCCUCUGGUUAUAUUUACAGCGUGGAGCUGAAGUCAAAAAAUGUUCAGAAAAUCCAGGAAAAGUGCCUUGAUGUGGAUUGAAGUUGUCACGUGACUCAGUGGGUCCUAAUGGAAAAUCUGUUGAACUUGCUCAAGCAGAUACAAGUAACUUAGCAGGGCUUCCUCCAUGGAGGUGUUUUCUGUCAUCAAGUGCCUGGGGAAUGGCACAAGAAUUCUUCCAGGGGAAACUUUAUCUCUUUUGGUGCAAGAAGUAUUCAUCACCACUUGAAAAUGAGCAGGUGAGAAAUCUCCAUGUAGCUUGCCAUUAAUGGGAUCCAUCCAAAUGUCUCCACUUUGAUUUUGCCAGUAAGAAACCCAUGAAGUGUGUUCUUAUUACUCCAUUAAAUCAAGUGUCAGCACUUGUGGAAGCAUGUUAGUGAGAAGCCUUGCAGAUAUCCACUCUGAUCACAAGGUUGAUGUGAAGGACAGAAUGCAAAUGGCAGUGAGAAUCUCCUGGCUUUCUCCUUUUCCUGCCUGUGGAAUGCACUCAUGCAAGAUAGUGUGAUACCAGAAGGUGACAUGUUUUCACUGGAUGGUCUCCUAUUGUGGCAAACUGAUGGUAUCUGCUGCAAUGACGUUGUGAUUACUUCACAGUUGAUGGCAAUCCUUUCUGAGACUGCAGGAACAAAGUCACUGAAAUAAUUGCCAGGUAAAGCCAUUCACUUUUCAGUGUGAGGUCAUUUCUACAUCUGGCCUAGCAAAAGAAAAUGUCUGUGGUCUUUCACAAAUCUUUGAAAGCUUCUGUGCCUGUCCAAGAAUGCUCCUAGGAAAGCAUCCACCAAACUUUGCUCCAUGGAACCUACCGUGUGCAGGAGGAUACAGAAAAUAAUUUUGACUGGUUGUAAGAGUUGUAUCAGGAUUUAGAUUGGAUAUGUUGCAGUAAGUGGCAAAUGCUGGGGCUGCAAGGAUGUAAGAGGCCUCACUAUUCUGCAUUACAUUCUACUUCUGACUAAAGAAGGAAAAUUUUGUGAACUUGAAGAAGUUCACUGGCUCAAACAUUUGGAAUCACAUCUCUGAAGCUGUUUUUCUGCUGAAAUCAGUGAAUAGACUUUCACUUAAGUUCUACUCCCUUAAACCUGUAUGUAGGGAUAGGAACAAUGUCAAUGUGACACAGUAGACAUCUCACAAACUUUACAAUUUAUUUUCUAUCAGCUGCUUUUUGAGUCUAAUAUUUAAUUGUAAAACAAUUAUACAUGAUAUUAGCAAU